rnacentral:rRNA from 1 species
UACAGAGGGGGCAAGCGUUAUUCGGAAUUAUUGGGCGUAAAGGGCGCGUAGGCGGUCGGACAAGUGGAAGGUGAAAUCCCCGGGCUCAACCUGGGAACUGCCCUCCAAACUGUUUGACUUGAGUCCGGGAGAGGUGAGUGGAAUUCCCAGUGUAGCGGUGAAAUGCGUAGAUAUUGGGAGGAACACCUGUGGCGAAAGCGGCUCACUGGACCACAACUGACGCUGAGGCGCGAAAGCUAGGGGAGCAAACAGG